rnacentral:rRNA from 1 species
UUAAUACCAUUGGCAAGUCGAGCGGACAGAUGGGAGCUUGCUCCCUGAUGUUAGCGGCGGACGGGUGAGUAACACGUGGGUAACCUGCCUGUAAGACUGGGAUAACUCCGGGAAACCGGGGCUAAUACCGGAUGGUUGUUUGAACCGCAUGGUUCAGACAUAAAAGGUGGCUUCGGCUACCACUUACAGAUGGACCCGCGGCGCAUUAGCUAGUUGGUGAGGUAACGGCUCACCAAGGCGACGAUGCGUAGCCGACCUGAGAGGGUGAUCGGCCACACUGGGACUGAGACACGGCCCAGACUCCUACGGGAGGCAGCAGUAGGGAAUCUUCCGCAAUGGACGAAAGUCUGACGGAGCAACGCCGCGUGAGUGAUGAAGGUUUUCGGAUCGUAAAGCUCUGUUGUUAGGGAAGAACAAGUGCCGUUCAAAUAGGGCGGCACCUUGACGGUACCUAACCAGAAAGCCACGGCUAACUACGUGCCAGCAGCCGCGGUAAUACGUAGGUGGCAAGCGUUGUCCGGAAUUAUUGGGCGUAAAGGGCUCGCAGGCGGUUUCUUAAGUCUGAUGUGAAAGCCCCCGGCUCAACCGGGGAGGGUCAUUGGAAACUGGGGAACUUGAGUGCAGAAGAGGAGAGUGGAAUUCCACGUGUAGCGGUGAAAUGCGUAGAGAUGUGGAGGAACACCAGUGGCGAAGGCGACUCUCUGGUCUGUAACUGACGCUGAGGAGCGAAAGCGUGGGGAGCGAACAGGAUUAGAUACCCUGGUAGUCCACGCCGUAAACGAUGAGUGCUAAGUGUUAGGGGGUUUCCGCCCCUUAGUGCUGCAGCUAACGCAUUAAGCACUCCGCCUGGGGAGUACGGUCGCAAGACUGAAACUCAAAGGAAUUUGACGGGGGCCCGCACAAGCGGUGGAGCAUGGUGGUUUAAUUCGAAGCAACGCGGAAGAACCUUACCAGGUCUUGACAUCCUCUGACAAUCCUAGAGAUAGGACGUCCCCUUCGGGGGCAGAGUGACAAGUGGUGCAUGGUUGUCGUCAGCUCGUGUCGUGAGAUGUUGGGGUAAGUCCCGCAACGAGCGCAACCCUUGAUCUUAGUUGCCAGCAUUCAGUUGGGCACUCUAAGGUGACUGCCGGUGACAAACCGGAGGAAGGUGGGGAUGACGUCAAAUCAUCAUGCCCCUUAUGACCUGGGCUACACACGUGCUACAAUGGACAGAACAAAGGGCAGCGAAACCGCGAGGUUAAGCCAAUCCCACAAAUCUGUUCUCAGUUCGGAUCGCAGUCUGCAACUCGACUGCGUGAAGCUGGAAUCGCUAGUAAUCGCGGAUCAGCAUGCCGCGGUGAAUACGUUCCCGGGCCUUGUACACACCGCCCGUCACACCACGAGAGUUUGUAACACCCGAAGUCGGUGAGGUAACCUUUAUGGAGCCAGCCGCCCGAAGGUG